GUUUCUCUAGGUCGUUGCUGCCAUGAAGUAAGAGUCUGUCUGGAAAUGAAGGCGAGCAGAGGCCACAAAGCUGAGACAUGGAGACAGAGAGAGUCCUGAUGUUAUUAUUUGGACCAUUGAGUCCAGCUGUGCCUGAAACUCUUCAGAAUGCAAAACUGAAAAGCUGGUGGCUCAUUCAUAAUCUUGUGGACCAGGAAUUUGUAAAGCACUCAACUGGGCUGUUCAUCUUUGCCCCAAGUAGCAUCAAAUGGAGCAGCUGCCUCCAAGAUGGUAUACUCACAUGGCUGGCAAGCAUACAGAAGACAAGCUUUCCCAGCGCUUUUGGGUUAGAUGGGGCUUGGUGACUCCAUACCAAUGGGAUGUGAGCAAAAGUGACACCGAUCACUCCUACUGAAGCACUGAAGCGCAGGAGAGAGGUCCAGGCUGCCGAGGAGACCGAAGGAGUCCUGUGUUGUAGAUGUCCUAGCUGUUGCCGGUACUGAUGGUAGAGCCUCCAUCAGCCUGGAUCCCUGAGUUACUGAUGGAGCAGAAUUCCCUCAACACAUACAUGCCCAACUUGGACUUGCAAUGGACAUAUAGCAUAUGCAAGAAAUAAACUUUUUUUGUUUUCGGCUUUGGGA